CAGGCAUAUUGCAUUCCACGUAGCAGAUUUAAUAAGUGCUGUCUGUGAUGUUUGGCAAGCCUGGUUUAUAUCCAUCUACAAGGUUUGCGAACCCAUGUUGCCGAUUCUUUUCUGCUACAGAUCAACUCCCUUGGUACAACCAAAAAGACCAGUGUUUACUUUUCAUUGAAAGGUAAGGAUGCUAUUUAGCCCAUAUUUAUGAA
rnacentral:lncRNA from 1 species